rnacentral:rRNA from 1 species
CCAGACUCCUACGGGAGGCAGCAGUGAGGAAUAUUGGUCAAUGGGCGCGAGCCUGAACCAGCCAAGUCGCGUGAGGGAUGAAGGAUCUAUGGUUCGUAAACCUCUUUUAUAAGGGAAUAAAGUGCGGGACGCGUCCCGCUUCGCAUGUACCUUAUGAAUAAGGAUCGGCUAACUCCGUGCCAGCAGCCGCGGUAAUACGGAGGAUCCGAGCGUUAUCCGGAUUUAUUGGGUUUAAAGGGUGCGUAGGCGGGCUUUUAAGUCAGCGGUAAAAAUUCGGGGCUCAACCCCGUCCGGCCGUUGAAACUGGCGGGCUGGAGUUGGAGAGAAGUACGCGGAAUGCGCGGUGUAGCGGUGAAAUGCAUAGAUAUCACGCAGAACUCCGAUUGCGAAGGCAGCGCACCGGCGCCCUACUGACGCUCAGGCACGAAAGCGUGGGUAUCGAACAGGAUUAGAUACCCGGGUAA